rnacentral:miRNA from 1 species
GUGGGAUUUCUGAGUAGCAUC